rnacentral:lncRNA from 1 species
ACUUAAUCCAAUUCUUUUGGGCCCUCAAAUAGGUAUCUCACUAAAUCCAAAUCAAAAUAGAUCUAGUUAAGGUUCAAGGCUAUAGACUUGAUCCAAUCCUUAUCUAAUAAGGAAUUCAAGUCCAAAGAAGAAUUGGAUUUAACCAUGUACUAGCAUGGUUCUUUUAAACUCAAUAAGAUUUUAAUAAAUACUAAUCCUAUUAGAACUUUAUAAGCCC